GACGAACGCUGGCGGCGUGCCUAACACAUGCAAGUCGAGCGAGGUUGCGGAUGGGUGCUUGCACCCUGAAGCUACCUAGCGGCGGACGGGUGAGUAACGCGUGAGUAACCUGCCUUAUACAGGGGGAUAACAACGAGAAAUCGUUGCUAAUACCGCAUAAGACCACGGUAUCGCAUGGUACAGGGGUAAAAGGAGCAAUCCGGUAUAAGAUGGACUCGCGUCCCAUUAGCUAGUUGGUGAGAUAACAGCCCACCAAGGCAACGAUGGGUAGCCGACCUGAGAGGGUGAUCGGCCACACUGGGACUGAGACACGGCCCAGACUCCUACGGGAGGCAGCAGUGGGGAAUAUUGGGCAAUGGGCGAAAGCCUGACCCAGCAACGCCGCGUGAAGGAAGAAGGUCUUCGGAUUGUAAAACUUCUGUCGUCAGGGACGAAAAAAGGACGGUACCUGGCAAGAAAGCCCCGGCUAACUACGUG
rnacentral:rRNA from 1 species